rnacentral:rRNA from 1 species
CCUGACUGCUAUCGGAUUGAUACUAAGCCAUGCGAGUCAUUGUAGCAAUACAAGGCAGACGGCUCAGUAACGCGUAGUCAACCUACCCUAUGGACGGGAAUAACCUCGGGAAACUGAGUAUAAUGCCCGAUAGAACACUAUGCCUGGAAAGGUUUGUGUUCCAAACGAUUUAUCGCCGUAGGAUGGGACUGCGGCCUAUCAGUUUGUUGGUGAGGUAAUGGCCCACCAAGACUAUUACAGGUACGGGCUCUGAGAGGAGUAGCCCGGAGAUGGGUACUGAGACACGGACCCAGGCCCUAUGGGGCGCAGCAGGCGAGAAAACUUUGCAAUGUGCGAAAGCACGACAAGGUUAAUCCGAGUGGUUUCUGCUAAAGGAACCUUUUGACAGUCCUAAAAACACUGUUGAAUAAGGGGUGGGCAAGUUCUGGUGUCAGCCGCCGCGGUWAAACCAGCACCUCAAGUGGUCAGGAUGAUUAUUGGGCCUAAAGCAUCCGUAKCCGGCUCUGUUAGUUUUCGGUUAAAUCUGUACGCUCAACGUACAGGCUGCCGGAAAUACUGCAKAGCUAGGGAGUGGSAGAGGUAGACGGUACUCGGUASGAAGGGGUAAAAUCCUUUGAUCUAUUGAUGACCACCUGUGGCGAAGGCGGUCUACCAGAACACGUCCGACGGUGAGGGAUGAAAGCUGGGGGGAGCAAACCGGAUUAGAUACCCGGGUAGUCCCAGCUGUAAACUAUGCAAACUCAGUGAUGCAUUGGCUUGUGCCAAUGCAGUGCUGCAGGGAAGCCGUUAAGUUUGCCGCCUGGGAGUACGUACGCAAGUAUGAAACUUAAGGAUUGGCGGGGAGCACCACACGGGUGAUGCUGCGUUC